ensembl:lncRNA
AUGUUUUAAUAAUACCAAUGGGAACAUUCAUGGAGUAGCUAGGAAAUGUUUUAAUAAUAUCAAUGGGAAACAUUCAUGAAGUAGAAGGGAAAUGUUGUAAUAACAUUGAUGGGAACAUUCAAAAAGUAGCUAGGAAAUGUUUUAAUAAUACCAAUGGGAACAUUCAUGGAGUAGCUAGGAAAUGUUUUAAUAAUACCGAUGGGAACAUUCAUGAAGUAGCUAGGAAAUGUUUUAAUAAUACCGAUGGGAAACAUUCAUGAAGUAGAUAGGAAAUGGUUUAAUAAUACCAAUGGGAACAUUCAUGAAGUAGCUAGGAAAUGUUUUAAUAAUACCGAUGGGAAACAUUCAUGAAGUAGCUAGGAAAUGUUUUAAUAAUACCGAUGGGAAACAUUCAUGAAGUAGCUAGGAAUUGUUUUAAUAACACUGAUGGGAACAUUCAUGAAGUAGCUAGGAAAUGUUUUUUUUUGUCAGCAAUUUAUCAUCGUUAUCCGAACUACAUUAUCACAUUUUCAUACAACUUUAGCUUGAAGACUUAAGGGCUCUAUUGAAUCCACUACGCCCAAGUUCAGCUUUACAGCGUGAUUGAAAUGUAAAGGCAAUGCAUUCAAGGUAAACCCUGCACGUGUCGGCUCAAUCCGAAAUGACCUUUUAUAUUUUUAUAGCGGAACCUGUAACACUUCAGCUGUACAGACUGAAUAGAGCCCUGGUGCACAAAUUAAUUCAAUGAAACCAAAAUACUAUAUUCAUGAAGGUUAGAAUUAAGAAAUACAAACAUAAGCAACCGUUUCCAUUUUAAAAACAGGUUCUCCGGCACAAAAUGCUGAUCAGGAAAUUAAAAUCCUAAAUUUACUGAAUAGUGAAUUGAAUAAGGAACUACCUCUUUCUUCAGCCUUAAACACAAACACAGUGCUAUUGCCUAAUAUCCAUAUUGAAUAGACUAUAUUACAGGAACACCUAAAUGUAGGACCGACAACGUUGAUAUGGCCUAAUAUCCAUAUUGAAUAGACUAUAUUACAGGAACACCUAAAUGUAGGACCGACAACGUUGAUAUGGCCUAAUAUCCAUAUUGAAUAGACUAUAUUACAGGAACACCAAAAUGUAGGACCGACAACGUUGAUAUGGCCUAAUAUCCAUAUUGUGGAAAGAACCAAAUCAAAUGUAUUUAUUUAUAAAGCCCUUCUUACAUCAGCUGAUAUCUCAAAGUGCUGUAUAGAAACCCAGCCUAAAAUCCAAUGUUUAGAAUAUGGUAUGUUUACAGGUUUAACUCUCAUUAUCAUCCAACAGAUGGCAGUAUUGCAGUUUCAUUAUCACCCUACAGACGGCAGUAUUGCAGUCCCAUUAUCACCCUACAGAUGGCAGUAUUGCAGUCUCAUUAUCACCCUACAGAUGGCAGUCUCAUUAUCAUCCUACAGAUGGCAGUAUUGCAGUCUCAUUAUCACCCUACAGAUGGCAGUAUUGCAGUCUCAUUAUCACCCUACAGAUGGCAGUAUUGCAGUCUCAUUAUCACCCUACAGAUGGCAGUCUCAUUAUCAUCCUACAGAUGGCAGUCUCAUUAUGACCCUACAGAUGGCAGUCCCAUUAUCAUCCUACAGAUGGCAGUAUUGCAGUUCUUUAAAGAUGUUUAUCUCGAGUCAGGAGGACUCGAAUCAACAGUCUAGAAGGGGAAUAUUGGCAAAUUUGUCAAAUGUCUCUAAGUUCCUAAACCCCUCGAACACAAUGUUGGACUCUGUCAAAGUGCCCACCUCUCUCACUCAGGGAGAGAUACAUCACAGGGCUCCCCCCCUCACAUCUACUUCUUAUGUGAUACAUUUGUACUUUUUCUGAGAUCUUUGCAGAGCAGGAAACAGCAGUGUACUGCUCCUGUAACCAACACAGGAAACAGCAGUGUACUGCUCCUGUAACCAACACAGGAAACAGCAGCGUACUGCUCCUGUAACCAACACAGGAAACAGCAGCGUACUGCUCCUGUAACCAACACAGGAAACAGCAGCGUACUGCUCCUGUAACCAACACAAGCAGGAAACAGCAGCGU